rnacentral:tRNA from 1 species
GCCCCCAUAGCUCAGUGGAUAGAGCACCGCCCUCCGGAGGCGGGUGCGGGCGUUCGAAUCGCCCUGGGGGCG